CAAGGCAGCUCUCGUUUUUAGUGCCUAACCACUCAUAUUGAAUCAAUAGUAAAUGUAUGUGAGUAGUUAUUGGCCGGGUGCGGGUACCAAGAGAAAAAUGAGAUGUGUUGUGGAACAAAUGAGAAAAAUAUAUAUGAGUUGUGUUUUGAAAUGGAGAGAGUAGUAGACAAAAUUCCGCACAAUCUCACCGAAGGGAUCGUCUAAAUAAUGACUGAAUCAACAGGAAACAUGCGAACAAAUUAGACAUUCGUGUUGUGACGCAUGGCCGUGAGGAAUCCAACAACACUUGCUGUUUUGGAGUUGGCCAGAGAUUUCACCGUCAGAUCGAGACAAAAUUUCACAUCGUCAUAGUAGACAGAAUUUCGUACAAUCUCACCGGUGGGAUUGUUAAAAUAAUACUUUAGGUUGUAGGAGAAAGAAAAAGAUUAGGCCAACAGGAGAGCAAAAGGAAGUAGAAGAAAAAAAAAUGAAAAGACCAUCCUACCCUUAUGAGUUUGGGAGAAGGGUUGUAUUGAAUUAGGCCUCAAAAUCAUAUCGUUUCUACAUUUCCACAACCCUCACAGGAUAGCAGUAGUAACAACAUUCAACCAAUGCUGUGCAACAUCAAAGAAGCUACAGAUUUGAAAUCCAGUGACAGAUUCAAGCUUGUUCCAAAUAAUCUAGAUACCACACAUUCAGACAUUAGAUGAUGUAUAGAUUCAUCAUCCAUUAAUGCAUUGUUAGCUAGAGGUGAGCUUCUGGAGCUCCAU
rnacentral:lncRNA from 1 species